GAGGACCUACAGGCUGAGAGAAAGAGAGAGAGGACCUACAGGCUGAGAGAGAGAGGACGUACAGGCUGAGAGAGAGAGGACCUACAGGCUGAGAGAGAGAGGACCUACAGGCUGAGAGAGAGAGGACCUACACGCUUUCAAGCAUAACCUGUACGGUCCACGCUGUCAAUCCACGACGACCAAACCAUACAUCAGAAGAUGGAGAAACGACGACGUUUCGGACCGUCCUGAACCAUUAUCAAGUCCACACACGACUUGAUAAUGGUCCAAGACUGGCCGAAAUUAACGCCGUCUGUUUCUCCAUCUUCUGAUGUAUGGUCUGGUCAUCAUAUCUUCAGCCACGUUAUUGUGACUCAUCGUAUAUCAAGCCAUGAUUCUCUCGCAACCUCUGGCACACUUUUCAUUUAUCUGAAAAUUACCAUUCCUUGCUAUCAGCUCGUUAAAAACUGAAAAUAACUGUAACCUCAAACAUGAAAGACGUAUUGUGCCUGUUAACAGAGAACAUAGGGAUACAGACGAUAUAUAUUGUAUUAUGGCCUACAUGCUAUCUAAAGGUUGAAGGUUGUUGUUGUUGGUUGAGGAUCGAGGGAUCGGAUGCGCCCAGUAGCUGAAGGUUUAAAACCUGCAAGAGGAAAUGUCAACAAAUGCCUCAUUAUCGUCACACAUUGCCACCUACAAGACACCAUGACGCCUCGCUCCAACCACUAAUAUAACGUAAAAUUUCUCGCAAAACUGUAAAUUAUUGAAAUGCUUAUAACUACCACUAGCCAGAAUAAAAAGGAGACCUAAUUACAAAAGGUUCAGAGAAAAUUAAAACAGAUUUAGAGACAAGAAGUAUAUUGACGUGUUUUGUUGUUUAUCAACGCAAUAAUAGAAAUAUAUAAGUGAAUAAACAUCUCUGCAAAGAAUCACAAAGUGAAUAGCAAACAAAAGUACAGCAAUUUAACAAAGACUCAUUUGAGGGGGAGCCGCAGAGGAUUAACAAAGUAUCCCCCAAAUACUUGUCUGAGGUCAGCAACGGAACACUACUGCACCAGCAACAAUGGUGGGGCGGUCUGCGCUGAAGAUGUCAGGAGAUAGUUGUGACCAACCCGCCCUCUACCCCAGUGUCAGAGGAUGGUGUCGUCUGGUCAGCUGUCAGACCACUUCCAAGGAAUACAGUCGCCCAGUCAGUCCAGUUAUAGGGAAUAGUCGCCAAGUCAGCGUCAACCCAGUUCCAAGGACUGGGUAGGUUAGGAGGGCAGGAAGUUCUCCUAAGAUUUCAAAACGUCAUGAAAACCGUUAAUUAAAAUUUCCUCCCCUAACCUAACAGACUAAGUCAGAGGACCCAAAACAGAAAACGGGGCAGUACGUCACUUUCGUGAGCUAAUUUCAUUUUGAAUGACGUUGAUUUUUAGCUGAAUUAAAUAGUUGAUGUCGCGAGUAACAAUCAUUGAGUAUUCAUCGAGAAUCAAUGAAGCAACAUCAAUUAAGAGCAAAAUCCUCCCAGCGGAAGUUUUCGUGGAAUACACGGAGCUUAAUUUGAUAUAAUUUAAGAGUGUACAGUACUAGUAAUGGAGGAGUAUGGUCACCAGAUUUAAGAAAUGAAGUAUAGGAGAUUUUCUUUUAAUCGAUAUCAUCAAUGUUAAGAAGGUAAUGUGCCUUAAACAGUUCUGAAGUAGAAAAUCUGAAAUUCUCUAAAGAGUAGGUUAUUAAGUAAUCGCUAUUAGUUCAAAACAACUAUAUGAUUGCAUUUACUGCAACUGUCUUGAGGUAGAAAAUCGAAAAUUAUCUAAAACAAACAAAAAGUUAAUAUCAAAUUGUUCAAAACGAUUAUUUUCAACCUAUUCUUAUGGAGACCCCGGAUAUCUUCCCUUAUUCUAUCCUGUAAAAAUAUUAAUGAUCAUGAAGCGAACCUUGAUCUUUGUGUAGAGUUUAUAGAUGUUUUGCCAAUGGCUAAACAUCUGUGAACAUCUGUUUCUGGAGAAACAUCUACUGUGUGAGUUUGUGGCUAAGAAGCCAAAUAUUUUAAAUAAUAAACUAAUAUCCUGAAGAGGUGAGUAAUAUGCACAGGUAUACCGAAUUAAUAGAUUGUAAAUAAAUUGUAUAAACCUGUAUUAAUGAAUUAUUAAUAAAAUAAGUCGUAUU